rnacentral:rRNA from 1 species
UUCUAUUAUUAGUAUAAAUCAUGAUUGGGGACUACGAGCAAUGGCUUAAAAACCCAAGAAUUUGGCGGUGUUUUAUUCAAUCAGGGGAAUCUGUUUCAUAAUCGACAACCCACGAAAAAUCAACCUUUUAUCUUGAAACUCAGUUUGUGUACUGCCGUCCAGAUGGGCCCUUAAGGUUACCCAUAAUAAAUUAAUUUAAAUUUUACGUCAGGUCAAAGUGCAGCUUAUGGAAAGGAGAAAAUGGAUUACAAUCUAUAACAUAGAUAGAUUUAUAUAAUAGCAAUAUAAUAAAAAAGAACUUGAUAGUAAUUUUAUCUAUAAGAUAAAAUGAAAAAGAACCUAAAACAAGC